rnacentral:lncRNA from 10 species
GAAGUGCAGCUGAAUGGACUCUCUAGGACGAUCGCAUAGUACUGAUUGCAGUAGGAGUCGGUGGGCCUCGAGUAGGUGGGCCUCCGUAGGGAGCCAGCGUGGAUCGAGUGCGGGGCCUGGACUUCCCGCCCCCUCCGCACUGCAGACUCUGCGGUGAUUUAAAGAAACUUCCUUCUACUACUUAAAGUCCUCACAUUGGGCUGACCUGGGAAACAUGAAGAUAAAAAGAGUGGGUAAACAUGCCUGCUUGAUGAGCCAGAAAAAAAGGCAGAAACCUGUGGUCUGGGUAGAACAGAUCCUGCUCAGAAUGUAUAAACCAGGAAAAGUUGUUCUGGCCCCUCAUCUGGUUUCAUGAAGGACAAUAUCUAGCAUGAGAGUGACAGGGGUUAGAAUAAUGGACAUUUUGGGGACUGGGUCCUAGCAGAAAUGAUGGAAUAAUGGAACAGGAGUUUGGAUGAAUGGGCAUAUUAUGGGAUUAAAGAAGAUUUGAAUACAAGCUUUCCUAAUAAAUGAAAGGGGAGGUGAAACUAGAGCAUGCUGAUGGCUGCACAGCAUUGUGAAUGCACUAAAUGCACUAACUGUCCACUUUAAAAUGUUUAGUAAUAUGUCGAUUUUACCUAAAUAAAAAAAAGGAAGCAACA